ACCAGUUCAUUCAAGCAAAACACAAGUGCAAGAGCUCGAAACUAUUAUUCAAACAUCUUACCGGACAUCUAAUGGAAAACACAUCUUGAAUGGGAGACUCGUGUGCCUAACAUUCUGUGAGCGGGAGACUCAUUUGCUAGGGCUGAUUGAAAAAGAAAUGACUCAAACUCAAUGGGACAGCUCGAAAAAGAAUACGAUUCAAGCUCGAUGGGAUGGAGGGAGUACCAGUUUAAUUUCAAGCAGUAAAACGUACCUGAAAGAUAGCGACUGCAAAAUUAAUCACCUUCUCUCUCCCCAUCGCUCCCUUUCCUCCCUCUCUCUCCAAAAUUAAUCACCUUCUUCGUCGGCCGAAGAAGGGAGGGCGGCAUCGAUUCUGGCUGCGAGGAGAAGAGAGGCCGAGAGGUGAGGGAGUGACACUGUGAAGAUUAGAGAGUGAGAGAAGGAGAGUGAUGGAGAGAAAAGAGAAGGGGAGAAAUUGGUUGGAGAUGGGCGUGGGUCGGCGGGUCGGGGCGCGGGUCAAUGGGCGGAUCGAUCCGUCUAAAUAUAUGCAUUUGGUCUGAUACACGAAUUUGUAAUUAUCUCCACUUUUCUCUAAUCAGAUUUCGACUGAAUAUUCACGUGA